CUUUAGCCCCCCCGUUGUACAGAGAGAAAAAGAAAACUCCUAGCAGGUGUGACCUCUUGCCCACGGCCACCUGGAUGCUUACCUGUCUUCCGCCAGCCCCGCCUCCGCCUUCUCUUCAGACCUGGGCAGGACGUACUCCGGCUGCGGCCUUGCGCUGGGAACAGAAAGAGACCCUACAGAGAUCUGCUCUGCCCUGCCAUGGGGAGUGCUUAGAAAUCAAACAACAUCCUUUCACAGCAGCGGUUAAUGGAACCAUCCAGCUCGGAGGUCAAGGGCAGACACUUGGACAUUGGACAGUCCUGGGUUCAGAGCCUGACCUUGCUACCCACCAGCUCUGCGACCCUGCAAUGCCACCUUGCCCUGAGCUUGAUUCAGUUUUACCAUCUGCAAAAUGAGACUCACAGGAGAUGGAGAGUAACUUCUUCUCUGUAAGCAUGAGUUGGGCACGGUGACUUCCUUCCAAAGGGGACAGUAUGGGAAGAAGGGAGGCGUGACUCUACAGUGGAGACACCUGACCAGCACGACCUCAGCCCGGGGAUGCAGGUCAACACCAAGGAAGAGUCGUGCUGAUGACAGGCACCCCAAGAUGAUGGAUGAGACGGCCCCUCACCUGUGUCCUCCUCUCCACACCCAGCGCCCCAGUGUCACCGUGAGAAAAACACCAGAUAAACUCCCAUAGAGGGAAGUUCUACAAAAUCUCUGACCCCAGUCCUCCUCAAAGCUGUCAAGGGCAACAACAACAAGGAAAGUCUGUGAUGGACCUCCCUGGAGGUCCAGUGGUUAAGACUUCACCUACCAAUGCAGGGGGCAAGGGUUCGAUCCCUGGGGAGCUAAGAUCCCACAUGCCUCCUGGCUAGAAAACCAGAACUUAAAGCAGAAGCAGUGUUGUAACAAAUUCAAUAAAGAAUUUUAAAAUGGUCUACAUCAAAAAAUCUUUUUCUUUUUUAAAGUCUGAGAAAUGGUCACAGCCCAGAGAAACCUAAGGAGACAUCAUGACUAAAUGUUACAUGGGAUCUUGGGUAGGAUCCUAGGAAAGAAAAAGAAUAUUAGGAGAAAAUUACUAUGGAUAUCACAGUAAAUUGUGGACUUUGGUCAAUAAUGACAUAUCAAUACCAUUCUAUUAAUUGUAAUAUAGAUAUCAGUCUCAUGUAAGAUGUUAAUUAUAGGAGUGGUGUGUUUGGAAGUUUUCUGUAAUAUUCUUGCAACUUUUCUGUAAAUCUAAAGCUACUAAAAAGUAAAAUUUUAAAAACAGAAAGGCAGCCAGUUAUGCAUCUGUGCCCCUUUAAUUGAUGGAGCACGAAUUUGCAAAAUAAGACCUGCUUUUCCUGGCAAUGCCCAGACUGUCUUUUGGACCACAGCUCCCUCUGCCUGAUUCUGACCCACGUGCUCCAGCUCCUUUGCUCCCCAGGACUCAGGCAGAAGGGUUUGCAGAGUGCACGGGGCUGUCAGGGGCUCCAGUGCAGGGCCUGCUGACUCAGGGAGGCACUGCAGCGGUAAUUCAUCUCUACAACUCAGCAGUGCCAGCUCAGCUAAACGGGGAGCUGUUUUGACGGAGAAGGACAGUAGGGGUUUUUUUUUUUCCUUUUCGAAUUGUGGUGCUGAAGAAGACUCUUGAGUCCCUUGUCAAUCCUAAAGGAAAUCAACCCUGAAUAUUCAUUGGAAGGACUGAUGCUGAAGCUGAAGCUCCAAUACUUUGGCUGGCGAAGAGCCGGCUCAUUGGAAAAGACCCUGAUGCUGGGAAAGAUUGAGGGCAAGAGAAGG